UAUUAUGGAUGAGCAAAGAAAGUGGUUUCUUGAGAUGGAAUCUACUCCUAGUAAAGACACUGUGAA
rnacentral:pre_miRNA from 1 species